rnacentral:rRNA from 1 species
CACGUAGGGGGCGAGCGUUGUCCGGAUUUAUUGGGCGUAAAGAGCUCGUAGGCGGCUCGGUAAGUCAGGUGUGAAACCUCCAGGCUCAACCUGGAGACGCCACCUGAUACUGCCGUGGCUAGAGUCCGGUAGAGGAGCGUAGAAUUCCUGGUGUAGCGGUGAAAUGCGUAGAUAUCUGGAAGAACACCAAUGGCGAAAGCAGCUCUCUGGGACGGUACUGACGCUGAGACGCGAAAGCGUGGGGAGCGAACAGG